rnacentral:pre_miRNA from 1 species
CAUUCAGUAUAAUUAUGUCUCAUGCAAUAUUUGGGGAAUACUUAUACUAAAA